rnacentral:rRNA from 1 species
CCCUUAGAUGUUCUGGGCCGCACGCGCGCUACACUGAUGCAUUCAACGAGUCUAAAACCUGCUCUGAUAGGGGUGGGUAAUCUUUUGAAUGUGCAUCGUGAUUGGGAUAGAUGAUUGCAAUUUUUCAUCUUCAACGAGGAAUGCCUAGUAAACGCAAGUCAUCAGCUUGCAUUGAUUACGUCCCUGCCCUUUGUACACACCGCCCGUCGCUCCUACCGAUUGAAUGAUCCGAUGAAUAUCAUAGACUGAGAGUAUAAGCAGGUUCGCCUGUCUUUGCUUCUCGGGAAGUGAAGUAAAUCUUAUCAUUUAGAGGAAGGAGAAGUCGUAAC